rnacentral:rRNA from 1 species
UACGGAGUGUGCAAACGUUAUUCGGAAUCACUGGGCUUAAAGAGUCCGUAGGCGGCUUGCUAGGUGAGGUGUGAAAUCCCUCGGCCCAACCGAGGAAUUGCGCUUCAAACCGGCAAGCUAGAGGAGGAUAGAGGUGGGCGGAACUGAUGGUGGAGCGGUGAAAUGCGUUGAUAUCAUCAGGAACACCGGAGACGAAGGCGGUCCACUGGGUCCUAUCUGACGCUGAGGGACGAAAGCUAGGGGAGCGAACGGG